rnacentral:snRNA from 1 species
AUACCUUUCUCGGUAUUUUGGCUAAGAUCAAGUGUAGUAUCUGUUCUUAUCAGUUUAAUAUGUUCUUAUCAGUUUAAUAUCUGAUAUGUGGUUCAUAUAACCACAUGAUAUUAAAUGUAUUUUUCUAGGGGGAGGGCCCACUCACAAUAGCUCGCUAUUCGGGCUCUCGGGCAUCGCUUGUGCAUUGCACUAUAGAAUCAGCUUUCUCUGCCAAAAAG